rnacentral:rRNA from 1 species
AGAAUCAACGCUGGCGGCGUGCCUCAGACAUGCAAGUCGAACGAUUAAAGCUCUCUUCGGAGAGUGUAUAGAGUGGCGCACGGGUGAGUAACACGUAAGUAAUCUACCUUUGAGUGGGGAAUAACGUCCGGAAACGGACGCUAAUACCGCAUAAUGCAGCGGCAUCGCAAGAUGACAGUUGUUAAAGAUUUAUCGCUUGAAGAGGAGCUUGCGGCAGAUUAGCUAGUUGGUAAGGUAAUGGCUUACCAAGGCUACGAUCUGUAACCGGUCUAAGAGGACGGUCGGUCACACUGACACUGAAUAACGGGUCAGACUCCUACGGGAGCAGCAGUCGGGAAUUUUGGGCAAUGGGCGAAAGCCUGACCCAGCAACGCCGCGUGAAGGAUGAAGUAUUUCGGUAUGUAAACUUCGAAAGAAUGGAAGAAUAAAUGACGUACAUUAUAAGGUCCGCUAACUACGUGACCAGCAGCCGC